GACGAACGCUGGCGGCGUGCUUAACACAUGCCAGUCGAACGGAAAGGCCUUUUCGGAGGUACUCGAGUGGCGCACGGGUGCGUAACACGUGGGUGAUCUGCCCUGCACUCUGGGAUAAGCCUGGGAAACUGGGUCUAAUACCGGAUAGGACCGCACUUUAGUGUGUGUGGUGGAAAGUUUUUUCGGUGUAGGAUGAGCCCGCGGCCUAUCAGCUUGUUGGUGGGGUAAUGGCCUACCAAGGCGGCGACGGGUAGCCGGACUGAGAGGUUGGUCGGCCACAUUGGGACUGAGAUACGGCCCAGACGCCUACGGGAGGCAGCAGUGGGGAAUAUUGCACAAUGGGCGCAAGCCUGAUGCAGCGACGCCGCGUGGGGGAUGACGGCCUUCGGGUUGUAAACUCCUUUCGCCAGGGACGAAGCGUUUUGUGACGGUACCUGGAGAAGAAGCACCGGCUAACUACGUG
rnacentral:rRNA from 1 species